GGCAACAGUCUUGGGUAUUCGGAGAAACACUUUCGGGUAAGAUUGCAAGCGAUUACUCUGCCUGAGGAGGUGAGGAAAUAAACAAUCUCUUCACCAUCUUUAAGUGUAAACACUGAUGAAUAUUGCUUGGAAGGGCUUCUUUGCAUGUUGGUUACCACUACGUUUCCGGCUGUACUAAGGAAGUAAACGGCAUCCUCGUCGUUGUCGUUGGAUUUGGUACAAUCAUCGGCGUUUCUCCUCAACAUAAUCUCUUCUUCCCAGCAAUCGGUAAUCGAGUUAUA
rnacentral:lncRNA from 1 species